CACCCGCCCGCCGCCGCUGCCGGCGAGGGAGAGCGCGGCGGCGAGCUGCAAACUGCGGACUGGACUCGCUCGGCAGCCGGCGCCGCCAGCCAGCCCGCGGCCUCCCUGUCGCCCGCCCGCUCUCACCGGCCCCUUCCCUGCCGCCUCAUGUUGCCCCGCGGGCCGGCGCCGCGGCCCCUGCCCGGUCACCCCCACUGCAGCCCACGCCGGGCAGGGAGCUCUGGUGGCAGGGGUGGCCGCCCUUUCCCCCUCAGCUCCCGCCGUGGCCCCGCAGCCUCGGCUGUCGCCAGCCCCGAGUCACCUCAGGCGCACCUCCCGCCUCGUGCCCCCUCGGGGGCGGCCGCGCCCCGGCCCCUCAGAGACCCCCAAAGCCCUCAGAGAACCUCGGAGCCCCCCAAAGACGCCCAGUGCUCCUCAGAGCCCCCCCGAGUCUUCAGAGCCCUCAGAGUCCCCCAAAGCCCCACAGGGACCCCCUCGGAACCCUCAGAGCUCCCGCCCGGCCCGCACCCCACGGGGACCCCCAGCUCCCCCUGGGGCACCUCCCGCGGAGCCGCCUUAUGCCCAUCACCGAAAGUCUAACACUUUCCCCCCCGGGCAGGGCCGGGAGAACUGUCCGUGCCGGGGAGGGCGAGCCCGGACGUGCCUGCUCCCCCACAGCCCGGGGGUACCGCGGGCCGGAGCCCAGACCGGCGCUUAGAGACUGGAGGUUGGGAGGAAACGUUUCCUGAACCAAAACAGCGUGUCUUAGGGAAAAAAAAAAAAAAAAAAAAAAAAAAGCUUAAAAAAAAACCCCUACAGAAAAUUCAAGGAAAUGCUUUAGUUUUUUUUAAAGGUACAUUGCAAAUAAUUGCGUGCUCCAGAGAGAUUAUAGGAAGAGAGCAACCACUGGGACCAUCUAUUGCUUUUUUUCGAAGUACCCCAGUCUCUGUUAUUGUGUUUGUUUGGUGGUUUUUUUUUGCCCUUGUUGCCAAAGUAUAAUCCCAAAUUUUGUGGCUGUUGAUACUUGCUUAUCUUCACAAACCUAUGACUGAUCUGUUAAACCUACUCGUGUGCAAAGAAGGGGACUUUUAGUGUUUAAUGUCAAGCCCUUGGAGUGGUUUUUGAUCGGACCAGGUUGUGAAUAUGCCCAUCUCACCCUUGUGUUGGCAGGCGAAGGUCACAAACAAGGACCAUGCAAAAUUCGAGGAGGGGAAGCUGUGCAAAGCACAGACCACCAGCAUCUGUUUAUCAUUGGAGCUGCAAGGGAAAAAAAAUACAUCUAUAUAUAUAUCUCCUCUGGAUUUUGAGCUGGUAGAGUGAAGGGAACGGCUGGUCAGCAGGAGAGAGUGGUUGGAGUGGGUCUGAUAAAAGACGUAAAUUCAGCUCUCCGUGCAGCCCAUGGGCGGUGGUCACCCCGGCCUCCACAAGACCCGGGCUCCUGCUUAUGUCCAAGUUGUGCCAUCGAAACUAGAGGAAACACGGUGGGUUAUGGUGGGAGAAGAAAUUAAGUGGUAAGAGAAAAUGGGAAUGGAAGGUAGGAGAGGCUAAAAGAGGAACCGAAGGAGGUGAAAAUGACUGUGGGUGAGAACAAAAAAAGGAAACAAAGUACAAGAACAAUGCAUUUGGGUGAUAAAAGGGGGGAAAGACUAGGGAGAGAAUCUGAGAAGAGCACUUUAAUGAAGCGUGAACUAACGGGAGGUGUUUUGCCCUGAUUUGUACCAAAUAAUACUUACAUGUCUUGUACUGUGGAGUUCAGGUGGAGGCUAGCCAUGUGACUGACUGCAUUCAGUGUGAAUACAGGUAGCAGAAAAUGGUACAAAGAAAGAAAGGCAGGGAAAGAAUCAGAACAGAGAACAAAGAAGGACUUGGAUUGUGGGUAAAAUAUUAAAAAAUAUGAGUUGGGGAGGGAAGCGAAAGAGUGAACGUGGAUAUCUGUGGGCAAACACACAAUGGGUAUUUGACACUUACUUUAGUACAAGAUCAUCGUAAUCCAGAAUAUAUUUUUAAUCUAAAUGUUUGGUUGCCCUUGUGGAAGAGCCAUUAUCAUCCCAUCGGAUAUGUUGACUACGUCCUGUCCAAGGCUUUAUGCUGCCACCCAUCAGCCAUAGUAUCAGCACAGCUUCCACAUGAAACUGAUAACAAUGGUCAAAUAAUUCCUGGGCAAGGCAGGGAUUCCUGGGCAUCUUCCCUUUUUUUUUUUUUUUUAAAUUUUAUUUUUUUCCUUCUUUCUUUUACUUCCCUUGUGAAAUUUCUUGUUUUGUUUGCCUCAAUAGUUUUGAUUGAUUUGUUUGUGGUUUGAAGGGUAGGGGGUUAUUUUGAGAAGAUGGCUAUGUCAGUGUUGUGUCAGCCUUGUACGGGUAAAAGUUUUGUUCUGAAAAAGGACAAUAUUGAGGUGUUUCUUAAAAAUGCGAUUAUGAGAUUGCUGUAAUGUCCUUGGAUAUGCAUUCCAUUACAAGAUUUUCACAGGCAAAAAUGCUUUGUUCCCUUUCUUGGUGUAAUUUAUUUGCAUUUUCUUGAUUUAUUUUUGUCUGAAGGACAGCAAACGCCUUGCAUGUUCGUAGCUCGAGCUGUGAUUUGGGGCAGAGUGGAAUGAACUUCGGGAGGGCAGGGAGGGACACUCGCACAUGAGCAGGGUGGCUCCGUUCCCAGUAACAGUGUUGAAACUCCUUCUCUUCACAGGUCUGGUUCCCAAGCUACCAUUAACAUUCAGGUGAUGACUCUGUAAUUUUGCUUAGAGAUCCUUCCUUCAGUGGAAAAUACAGAAAUAGUGCUAGCACUUAUUUAUUAUGCAUAUGAAAAACAGAGCACAAAAAGGAAUAAGGUACUCGUAGGACUCUGCUGUAGAUUUGCCAGGCUAAUGUUACAACUGCCUUUGCAGGAAUGCUAUCAUGGUGUAUUAUCUGUCAGCACCAUGCAAACAAAACGUUGUCAUGAGGAUACAAAAGUUUGCUUAGUAAGCAGGUAAAUUAACGUGAAAUCAUCCAGAUAGUCUUAGGAAGUUUUGUGUUAUUAAUUCCUUCUUCAAGUGUUUAUACACCUAUAAUAUCUGUGUAUCUGUGCCCUUGCUCCAAUCAUUUUGAGCACAGACACUGCUCUUAGCAGUAGCAAUUGCAUCUCAUGAGGCCAAUACUGUAAUUAACGAGAUUUGAGGCACAAAUGCUGAGACAAAUUUAACUUUCUAAUAUCAGAAAUUAAGAUCCAGUGUUUGUUAAAAAGGGGGCUGAAGGGGUCACAGUACUUUAAAGCUUCUCAGUCUGACACUGGAAAGGAAUUCACAAUGUAUUUUUAGAGUGUUAUAAAAAUCUCUUACAUAAUGCUGAUUAAUUCUUAGGUUUUAGGGAAGAGCACGGGGCUUUGUGUACAACAGCGUUGACCAGCUAAGCUACUGAAAAGGGCUGGUUUGGGCUGGAUUUUUUUUUAACUUCUUGGAUGCAGAAAGCUGCAAUUAUUCAAUUAUUACAGGAUUUUGCUUUUGUUUGGGCGUGUAUGAAUAUUUUUCUGGAAACUGCAUCUUAUUCUUGGAAGUCUUUAUCAUUUUAAAACAUAUGUUAUGUUAUAACACCCUGUCUGAGAUAUAUGAUAGCUACAAACUGGGUGGGUUUUUUUCCCUCUCUCUUACUGCAGCUAGUUACAUUAUGGAUUAACGUUAAGAAUGUCUGCAGUGAAACAUUACUUGUGUGGUUGUGUAAGACUUAUUUGAACAAUGUAACUUAUAUUACAGAAUCAUGGUUUUCCUCACAUGCUUACAGUAAUAUGUACAAUUAUUAUAUACUUCUGCCUAUUCUGUUUAUUUACAAAGUCAUCAGUUAAUCUAACUGGCAGGUUUCACACAGCUCUUAACAAAGAGCUAUUCAGGAAAUUAAGUCAGUGAAUGUUACUCCUUUAUUUUAAUUCUAGUUAUAUAUAGUUAUUGUUGUGUAACUGGAAGGAUUUUUUGGACAAGAUAUCAUGGGAAAGAGAUGCUUUUUUUCCCCUCUUUUUCAGCAGAUAUGUGACCGAGGCAGCUUUGAAGCCUUUCUGAAGAAUCCUUCUUCCUUCUGUAGGAUGUUUAAUCUCUCUGUGGAGUUUAUAACGAUGAACUUCAUUCUGCAAAUUUUCAUUCUUGUGCCAUACAGAUGAGUAAGAAUUGCUCAGGUGAGUGAGAUGAGCCCCAAAUCAUUAUUGGAGAGUGAAGAUAGGAGGCAUGCGUGGGUCACAAGUGCAAAACAAAAUCUUCAUCUGUCCCUCUUUUCUAAUUGGGAGGAAAUAAAAGUAAUUGUAGCACAGUGAUAGGGAGAGCAGUACAGUAAGAGAAACUGCAAACAAAGGCUCACUAAUAACCUGUUUAUCACCCAGAUUUUCUGCCAGUAACGGCUCUCUUUUUCCCUCCAUGAUACCUUUUAUAGGUGAUCUGCAGUUCUCCUGGAAAAAAUCUCUACCACCGCAAAGAGCCAGUGCUGUUCUGCGGCUUUUGGUUGCCUGAACUCUUUCCUGCUAAAGGACAUGGGUCCUGUGAGAUGCCAAGCAGCUCACUGAGGCAGCUGGAGACAUCUCCCAGCGCAGAGCUACUGGAGAGGGAGAGGCACUGCUGUAUGCUGGAACCAGCAAUGUGCUGCAGUUACUUCUGUAACGCAGGCUGUCCUCGCUUUCUCACCCUCUUUCUCCCAUGAAACUUAAGUUGUGUCCCGGCUUCCCCCUUGCACUUUCUUUUUCCAGUGAGAACUACAGUUUCCUCCUGUCUUUGGAGAAUAAGCACAGAUGCUUUGCAGUCUCCUGUUACGCAGUUCAUCCAUGACAGGGCCGGGGUGAACCCGAAUAUGUUCAACUUAGAAAUAGAACUUGGUAAGAUUAAAACUUUCAUUAGUUUAUUGCUCUUGCUGCUAAUGAUAUGGUUGCUCACAGACGUAAGUAUGUACUCUGGCUUCCAGUUUGUGUACAUGUGCAGUUCAGUGUAUUGGAAAUUAUCUGUAAAGAGCACACAGUGAUACACAGUCUGAAUCUAAGUUCAGCCAAUGGAAAAAAGCACGUUUGUGAGUGCUGGUUUCUUCCAUAUUAGCUCUGAAGAUUUUGUUCUGUGGUGUCUUAUGUGGUUUCAGGUCUCCCUGACGCAGUUUCCACCGGAGGGGCUUUCAGAACAUCUCGUUUGCUCUCACACACACAGACACUCAUUUGUGUGCCAGCUCUGGUGCUCGCUAAGGGUUGAAGUCAUGUUGCCUCUCUCAUGCUGAAAAGCUCAGAUACGGUCUCCCUCUCCUCCCCAGCCAUAUAGUUUCACUUAAAGAACUGGAAUUGCUGCUGUUUUGUCAAGAUUGGUUGAUUAUUGGGUAAUGGUUUAAACUCAUGACUGACACAUACAUAAAAACCUGCAGCAUGUUGCCCCCAUUUCUUUGGUUAGCAUGGCUAAAACUGGUUGUUUUAAGCUACCUGACUGAAACUAUAUGUUAGCAGAGAACCCAGUCUGUGAGAACAAAAACACACAAAAACUCCUCAACACAUAGCCUCAGUUAUUAAUAAUUUGAAGGAUAGCUGAAAGUCACCAUUGCUGGUUCAGUGAUGUGUCACACCAGGAAUGUGAUUCUGUGUGCUCUAUGUGCCAAUAACUAGAAUAAAAACAGCUUGAAAACUGGGGAUAUGGGUGGAUGUGAGACUAAGCUGGACCCCGACCCUACACAAAGCUCUACAUGGGCAGAUCUGACUUUGCAUGACGUCAGUGCAGGGAUUUGUGGGUGAGGACUUUAGUGCUAUCGUGCCUUAGCUCCCACUUUCAGCAUUCAGUGUUAUGGAAAAACAAACAGACAAACAAACAAAACAAAAACCCCCAACACAGUGCAGAAAUCACAUUAGCAGAAUCAAAAUUGCAUUUAUUUUCAGGGUUUUCAGGGUCACUGCACUCAGCAAUAUGUCACAGAAAAAGGAUGAACCCAGUAUGGAGUUGCCGAUAAUUCCAGAGUUGGUUUGACAUAUGCAGACUGCUGUCAACUUCAACAGGCUUAUUUAACACAUUAAUUUCUUUUGGUUUUAGGAUUAGUCAAAAUGCAAUUUUGUGAAGCAAUACUGAUGAGGUUGAAUAUUAUGGGCUGUAUGCCUGGAGUUGCAGGCCUUGGGUUGCACAGGUGUAGGAGCGAAAAGACUUCGGCUUUAGCCAUCAAUUAGCCAUGAUUAGGGGAAAUAACCUUUUCCAAACUCUCAACAUUUUUACAUUUAUUAAGUUCUGUUAGUAAAAAAAAUACUCCCAAGCAAGCAGUAGUACUCCAAGUGAAGAUGCAGAGAAAUAAAUGGCCAAAGAUGUAAUACUGUGACAGGUUUGGCAAACCUUUACACAGUUUUACAAAACAAACGUGAUGUUCUAGUCUCUGUGUAGGUCUUUACAUUAGAAGUUCAUACUUAAGACAAAAGAUAAAUAAAAUGGUUCUCUCCAUGUAUUUACUGAGCACAUAUUGGUGAAUUAAGUGUCAUCCCAGUGAAGUACCAUAUCAGCCGUGCUCUAUCAACACAUUCAGAUGUAAAGGAGUUUUGUGGAACUUUCCUGCCUUCUUUCAUAUGUAUAACCUGGGAAAGAUAGGGAAAUAGGGCUGUUCAGCCUGGAGAACAGGAGGCUGAGGGGACACCUUAUCGCUGUCUGCAACUACCUGAAAGGAGGUUGUAGCAUGGAGGGUGUUGGUCUCCCAAGUAGCAAGUGAUAGGAUAAGAGGAAAUGGCCUCAAGUUGUGCCAGGGGAGGUUCAGAUUGGAUAUUAGGAAAAAUUUCUUCCUGGAAAGGGUUCUCAGGCAUUGGAACAGGCUGCCCAGGGCAGUGGUGGAGUCACCAUCCCUGGAGGGGUUUAAAAGACGUGUAGAUGAGGUUCUUAGGGGCAUGGUUUAGUGCCAGAGUUAGGUUAUAGUUGGACUUGAUGAUUUUGAGGGUCUUUUUCAAGCAAAAUUAUUCUGUGAUUCUCUGAUUCUAUAUGAAAUGUGCCACUGGACUCUGAUAGCCUCUGGACUGUUAUUUCAUUUGCUUUCAACACCAAAAUUUGAGCUGCUUCUGCUUUUUAUGAAGUACUUGAGGUUUUAAUGUCCUGUAAAUAAAAGACAUAUUGAAAACUCCUAGAAUUUCAUCCUGUUUUGGACCUGGGGCCCAGGGUGAGGGUGGUGAUAACUAAAAACACUAGCACAUACCAAAUCAAAGUUUACCAGAUCUGACUGAUUGUUUAACAGCUGGCCAAUAGCAGUGUUAAAAUUCAGAAAGAAAACCAUGGCAUUAUUAAUUAAUUUGCAUUUAUGUAGGUUUUGUUUCUCUUUAACUUCCAAGAGAUCACAGAUUCAUAAAUGAACAAAAAUAUUACAGGAGUAUAAUCCACAGAACCUUUCCAGAAAUCCAGCAAAAUAACAAAACUAAUUGAUUAAAAAUGCUUGAUAGUGUAUGGAACCAAGAAAGGAAAAACAAAAAGUAAAAUAAUGUUGCUCAUUUUUCACACAGGCUGUCAGUGAACUGAGAGUAGAUGGAACUUUUUUAUUUCUCAGUUUCAGAUAAUACAUGCUGCAGAACUUUGUCAAUAUCCUUUGACUUUUCCUAGGCAACUGGGAGAUAUGAGGAACUACUGUAAAUUCGGUCCCUGUUACAACUGUGUGUUACAGACACAACUACUCCAGAGGGACCAAAUUACCACCUUUUAAUUCUGAGUUGUCUGUAGGUAAAGAAGGAUUAAUCAGGGUUUUAACGGGGCAGUGUCACAGCAGCAAGCAUGCACCUGCUUGGGAGGGGAAUCCUUUGCCUCUAAACAUCUUCUGUGACAAGAGUACUGAGGGGCUGUGAAGAUAAUUGGCUACUUAGGUUUAUCCUUGAUUCAAUAUUUCUUGGUUUUUAUUCUGAAUAGGUAAACAGGUAAAAGGCAAGCCCUCUCUGUAAUGUUAACACAUGAAUAUUGUUUUAGAGAUUUGUUUUGGGUUUGUGCAGCAGAUUGUUUUGUGAGACAGAGCCUUUUAUAGAAACCAGACUAUUGCUUGUAUUCUUUGGCAUUUCCAUGUAUAAAAGCUACUUGUGUUUACACACACACACACACACACGAUAUUUUUCUUAUAUAUUGUUCAUCUGGUAAGGAAGAAAUAAAAGAAGAAAUUGAUACCAGUCUGCAUAUGUGUUCAAAAGCUUAGUGAAUUCUUCAAGCUCUGCUGUGGAUCAGAUUUCAUGAAACUGCAAUAAAAAAAUCCUUUUUUAACCUUGUCUUUGUGUGUUCUGAGGUGGGUUUGUAAGGUUUGAAUUACUAGAUAAUCACCAAGAAGUCUCCUUUUCAUGAGUCUGCAGCUGGAAAAUGGACAGUUUAAUAUUAAUGGAAAGAGCAAACUCUACUUCUCCUUUCCCUUCCCUUUCUUCUCUGCACUUUUGCUUCAUCAUUUUCUUCUCUGAGGUCCCUAUCCUGAAAUUGCCUUUGUGGAGGUCCUGGAUGAGCCACAAACAAAGAGUAGAGCCCUGUUUUUCAAAGUACUAUUUAUCGACAUCAGUGAGUGUCACAUGGCACUGACUUAAGAUUAUUCAAGAUCAAAAAAUCCAAUUCAUUGAUGUAUGUGCAAUUAUUGAUUCAACUGAGAAACUAAUAUUAAUCUGGAGAUGUUCCAUAUUAAAUGCUCUGCCAUCACCAUGCCAGGGGGAAGUAUGGAAAUGAUCACUUCUGGCAUCUGGAAGAAGAAAAAUAUUAAGAGUUUAUUGAAGAUGAAUAGGCACAAAUGGUUGAACUGUAGUAGAAGUAAACAGUAGCACAGCAGUUGUAGCAUGGUAUAUAUCUACACCUAUGCUCUCUUUACAGUGUGUCUCUUUUAAAGAUGCUGUUAGCUUCCAUCAUUUAAAGAUAUAUCUAGGAAGCCUUCUGGAUAAUACACCUUCCACUGCUGUUCACCUCUAGAUCCAUUCUGGCUUCACGUUCAAACAAGUUGAGCACAAAAUUGAAGUUAAUUGCCCAAGUUUAGCACAUCACAAUGCUUUAAAGGGCUCUUACUCAUAUUUUUUUUUUCUCAUUUAAGCCAACUGCUGGAAAUUCAGCGUGACAAAUGAGAGAGGACAGCCCCAGUGCAGAGUCUCCAGGGACUGCUGGGUCUAAGGCAAACAUAAAUUUAACCUUUGUUCAUUUUUCUAGCAGAAAUUUGCACGCAAAGUGAUGUGGGAGCCUGUUGGGAGACUACAGCAGUCAUGGAACUGGAUGGAACGGACACUGCUCCAUUUCUGGAUAUAAAUGGUAUGUUUGAAUAAAAGCCUUUGCUUAUGACUCCUCUGCUGGUUUCUUGCACGAACUGAAUCAGCGCUUCUCUUGUUUUGGCCCGCGACAGAUUUUUUACGGAGGCAGGGUGGUUCUCAUGGUUGAAGCCACCUGUGUUCUCCCCAGGUGGUCUUUCUGUCCAGCGAAGGGUGGUCCCAUGAGUCUGUGAGGGAACCCAAGUGCUGGUCUGAGCAGCUGGAGCAGAGCAGGUUAUAAAAUGAGGUCCCGAACAAGGGAACAGAGAUGCCUUAGGGCUGCCUUGGAAACAGUCACUUCUCCCAUCUGUUCUCUCCUGUUGAGUUCUCCAUAUACCUACAGCUGGUAGCCUGGCUGGCAUGGCAUUUUCCUAGGAUAUCUGAGUAAGAAGCCUGAAAUUGAAGGAUUUACUUUCUCAGAAACAGUUCAGGCCAGCAGAUGAACAGAAGCAUAGAAGUUGCCUGUUUUGCUGCACUUUGGUGUGAGGAUUUAGAGGAAAGCAUUUGAAAACUGCCUCAUGAAAUGUUACUUGAAAAAUUAACUUGGAUGGUCUGCGAGCAGAACGCUGCCGUGUGGGAUGAGGAGUUCAAGCCUCUCGAAAGAGAAGAACAGGAGGCAGCAGGGAUCUGCCCAUAGCCCUGACCUCAGUGCUCUGAGGACAUCACCUCUGGUCCUCCACGAGGAGAUGGAGCCGCAAGGCUCCCCGUGGGCUCCUGCCACAUCUGGUUGCCCUGCCAGGGUCAUGCUUGGUGGGGGUGGAGGACUGGACCUCAGCUGGUGUGACCAGGGACAACCUGCCCGCCACGGGGACAGGUGCUGGUGUCACGGCAGCAGUGACGUGACGCUUGCCUGGAAGCUGGUGGUGCUGGAACCCGAGAAAGUUUGUGGUUCUCCUGUGCUGGGCGACAGAGGACAAUGAAAGCAAAGCCGCGUGCCUUGUUGUGAAAAGGGAUAACUAUCUACCAGGUUAAAGUCAAGUCGACAGAGAUCUUUAAUGUUAAGGCUGAUUUGUUCCUCUACAUCAAGAGACUCCCACGUAAAAUAUUCUGCUGUGAUUUCACAUUUCAUGCUGAAGGCAUCACCCUGAGAAAAAAUAUUGACAAACAGAGGUAAUUUUAGAGAAGAAGCAAAGCAAAAUGUCCAGAUGCUGAUGUGAUAGAAUUUAUCUUCUUAUACAUACAUACAUAUCUAGUAUAAAUAGCUUGGCUAAAAGGCGACUAUGGGGCUUUGGCAAGGCACCAGCAUUGAGAGGCCAUAAGAAUACAAAUAUAAAUGGCACAGGCUUAACCAGUCGAUUCAGGGAUGCUGCAGCAGACUCCAGCAGGAGCUUCCUGAGGGAAAGAUGGAUCCUUGGGGUUCAUACGGAAUAGCUGACUGUGAAGAAAGCGGCAUAACUAGGCAAACUGAGCUGAAAUCAAUAGAAUAAAUAAGUUGUUGAAAUACAGGGAAAACUCCUAACAGUGAACGUCCUACUACAUUAUCAGAGGAAACAGUAAAUAGCUCAUGCAUCAGAACAUUUACAUAUAAUUUGGAUAAAACCUGGGUUUUUUUCCACAUGGAUUGCCCUGGCCCCUGCCAAUUCCUUGAAAGCUCACAGGAGUCUCAGUGAGGUUUGGUUGCACCUCAGCAGAAGACAAGCCCUUAUCCGCCCAGCAGAAAAAUAUUUCCUCUGGCUGUCUGCCACGUAGAAAACAGAUCUUAGCGUUAUUUCAGUUCUUUCUUUACGUUUUUCACAUGCCGUUUCGCUCCGCAUGCUUUUGCCCCCAUUGAUAAGGGCUAGUUGUGCAGCUGCAGAAGAGCUUGGUUCACACCGUGUCCCAGCAGCAUCAGUCCCCACCAGUUUCGCUUUCCACGAAGCCCUACUGAAAGCGUUCCUGCAUUGGAGCAUCCCACACAUUUUAACUGUGCCAAGGAAGCUGACUCCAUCACCUAGUCUGGGUAGAACUGGUCAUGCAAGCUACCCAUUUGUUUAUCUCCGUUCAGUGUUUUACCUUUCUUUAAAAUACUGGAAGCUUAAAUCUAAAAAUCCACUACCUUCCUAAGACCUUUUAAGUCAACUUUCAAAGGCAGUCUUUUAUUGCUGGGUUGUAAACCCCUUUACAGAAAGAAAGUUUUAAGUCUGAAUAUUAAAGUGUUUAAAGUUCCUUUUUGGAUUGUGAACCUAUUAUUAAAGCAGGAUGAAAACUAGUUUGCAGUCUGCCUUUUACACAGAGCAUCCAUACUGCCAGAGUCCAAAAUGAAGUCACUUUUUUGGAUUAGGCACAGACCACAGAAGGCUUAGAAAUGCCACUUGUAAUUAAAAACAUUGCGCCUGGAUCCCUCUGCCUUUAUCGAGGUUAAAUGGCCACUGAAAGCAAUACAAGUUGAGUCUGAAGAACAACAGCAAGCUCAUGUCCUCUGUUUUCUCAUAUAUUUAACCGUUUGUGGAUGCUAGGAAAGCUUUGUACAUUUUGUACGUUUCAACAGUAAAAUGGAUGCAAUUUCCUCUGAGUUUGAUAGCGACUGUUAGUGCUCUGUGAGGUCAAGCAGAGCCACCUCUGCUUGUCCCCUUCUCCAUGCCACGUGAGAUUGACUGUCAGCCCUUCAGCACGGACAAAUGUUGUGGGCUGUUGUUGCAGCUUGCUUUGUUUUUUCAGCUUUAUCUGUUGUAUUUCUACUAAUGCCUUGUCUACUUUAUGGAUCAGAGACUUUUAUCUAGCCGUCUGGAAGAGCUUAGCACAGUGCGGCGCUGAUCCUGCCCGAGCUACCACAAUAUCAGUACUAAUUGCACAGCAUUUUAAUUCUUUAAAAUGUUGUGUAAACUAAAUGGGCUGGAUUAAGUAAAGGGUGUAUGUAGGUACCUGGAAAAGGGCUUGUCUGGGGCUGAAGCACUAAGCAGAAUGCUGUGAUCUAAAAUAUCUCCUUCCAGCUGCCGGCAGAUGUGGCUUUGUAGGCUUGUUCCUUUGUACUCAACACUUUGUCAGGCACUGCACUGCCCAGUUUGACAUCUCCUGCCUUAACUUCCACUGCACUGCAGAAACUAUGUGUCUUUCUAUCCAGGUUCCCUUCACUGCUCCUGGUAAUUAAUCUUGGGAUAUAUUACAUAGAAUCAGAACCUGCCAGAAAUACAGCUCUGGACAUUUUUUUUUCAACACACCACAGGGACAGAAGAGACUUGGCUGGCUGUAAGAUAGACCCAUGUCCUCACCUCCUCAGACGCACACGCCACAUUCGAGGAAGAUUAUGCAGAAGAAGUGAAUAUGACCCUGCAGACUAGUGAUAAGGGCAUUUACCUUUGAGGAGAGAACCUGUACUUUGAGGACAGGUUCUGCAGCUUGCUAUCUUAGACCAUCACCCGGCAGGAGGGAAGAACAGCUUGGUGAACAUAGUUCAAAACUCAAGGGUUACCCAGAUUUGUUGAUCGCAAUCUCAAGGUGCCUCCCCAGGCAGCAACCUGGCUGCCUUGUGGGCUCAACACCUCCUGGGAUUAAAACUGGUCCUAGGACCCCUCCUGGGGAUCCAGCUGAAAAGCCACAUAGCUUUUCUUUUCUUUUCUUUUCUUUUCUUUUCUUUUCUUUUCUUUUCUUUUCUUUUCUUUUCUUUUCUUUUCUUUUCUUUUCUUUUCUUUUCUUUUCUUUUCUUUUCUUUUCUUUUCUUUUCUUU